UGCAUUAAUAAGGGGUCACGUCUGCAUUAAUAAUGGGUCACGUCUGCAUUAAUAAGGGGUCACGUCUGCAUUAAUAAUGGGUCACGUCUGCAUUAAUAAUGGGUCACGUCUGCAUUAAUAAGGGGUCACGUCUGCAUUAAUAAUGGGUCACGUCUGCAUUAAUAAGGUGUCACGUCUGCAUUAAUAAUGGGUCACGUCUGCAUUAAUAAUGGAUCACGUCUGCAUUAAUAAUGGGUCACGUCUGCAUUAAUAAUGGGUCACGUCUGCACUAAUAAGGUGUCACGUCUGCAUUAAUAAUGGGUCACGUCUGCAUUAAUAAGGUGUCACGUCUGCAUUAAUAAUGGGUCACGUCUGCAUUAAUAAGGGGUCACGUCUGCAUUAAUAAUGGGUCACGUCUGCAUUAAUAAUGGGUCACGUCUGCAUUAAUAAGGGGUCACGUCUGCAUUAAUAAGGGGUCACGUCUGCAUUAAUAAGGUGUCACGUCUGCAUUAAUAAUGGGUCACGUCUGCAUUAAUAAGGUGUCACGUCUGCAUUAAUAAUGGGUCACGUCUGCAUUAAUAAUGGGUCACGUCUGCAUUAAUAAUGGGUCACGUCUGCAUUAAUAAUGGGUCACGUCUGCAUUAAUAAUGGGUCACGUCUGCAUUAAUAAGGGGUCACGUCUGCAUUAAUAAUGGGUCACGUCUGCAUUAAUAAGGGGUCACGUCUGCAUUAAUAAGGUGUCACGUCUGCAUUAAUAAGGUGUCACGUCUGCAUUAAUAAUGGGUCACGUCUGCAUUAAUAAUGGGUCACGUCUGCAUUAAUAAGGGGUCACGUCUGCAUUAAUAAGGUGUCACGUCUGCAUUAAUAAGGUGUCACGUCUGCAUUAAUAAUGGGUCACGUCUGCAUUAAUAAGGGGUCACGUCUGCAUUAAUAAUGGGUCACGUCUGCAUUAAUAAUGGGUCACGUCUGCAUUAAUAAGGGGUCACGUCUGCAUUAAUAAGGGGUCACGUCUGCAUUAAUAAGGUGUCACGUCUGCAUUAAUAAUGGGUCACGUCUGCAUUAAUAAGGUGUCACGUCUGCAUUAAUAAUGGGUCACGUCUGCAUUAAUAAUGGGUCACGUCUGCAUUAAUAAGGGGUCACGUCUGCAUUAAUAAUGGGUCACGUCUGCAUUAAUAAUGGGUCACGUCUGCAUUAAUAAGGGGUCACGUCUGCAUUAAUAAUGGGUCACGUCUGCAUUAAUAAGGGGUCACGUCUGCAUUAAUAAGGUGUCACGUCUGCAUUAAUAAGGGGUCACGUCUGCAUUAAUAAGGGGUCACGUCUGCAUUAAUAAUGGGUCACGUCUGCAUUAAUAAGGGGUCACGUCUGCAUUAAUAAGGUGUCACGUCUGCACUAAUAAGGGGUCACGUCUGCAUUAAUAAGGUGUCACGUCUGCAUUAAUAAGGGGUCACGUCUGCAUUAAUAAGGGGUCACGUCUGCAUUAAUAAGGGGUCACGUCUGCAUUAAUAAGGGGUCACGUCUGCAUUAAUAAGGGGUCACGUCUGCAUUAAUAAGGUGUCACGUCUGCAUUAAUAAGGGGUCACGUCUGCAUUAAUAAGGUGUCACGUCUGCAUUAAUAAUGGGUCACGUCUGCAUUAAUAAGGGGUCACGUCUGCAUUAAUAAUGGGUCACGUCUGCAUUAAUAAUGGGUCACGUCUGCACUAAUAAGGGGUCACGUCUGCAUUAAUAAUGGGUCACGUCUGCAUUAAUAAUGGGUCACGUCUGCAUUAAUAAUGGGUCACGUCUGCAUUAAUAAGGGGUCACGUCUGCAUUAAUAAUGGGUCACGUCUGCAUUAAUAAGGUGUCACGUCUGCAUUAAUAAUGGGUCACGUCUGCAUUAAUAAUGGGUCACGUCUGCAUUAAUAAUGGGUCACGUCUGCAUUAAUAAUGGGUCACGUCUGCAUUAAUAAUGGGUCACGUCUGCAUUAAUAAGGGGUCACGUCUGCAUUAAUAAUGGGUCACGUCUGCAUUAAUAAGGGGUCACGUCUGCAUUAAUAAGGUGUCACGUCUGCAUUAAUAAGGGGUCACGUCUGCAUUAAUAAGGGGUCACGUCUGCAUUAAUAAUGGGUCACGUCUGCAUUAAUAAGGGGUCACGUCUGCAUUAAUAAGGUGUCACGUCUGCACUAAUAAGGGGUCACGUCUGCAUUAAUAAGGUGUCACGUCUGCAUUAAUAAGGGGUCACGUCUGCAUUAAUAAGGGGUCACGUCUGCAUUAAUAAGGGGUCACGUCUGCAUUAAUAAGGUGUCACGUCUGCAUUAAUAAGGGGUCACGUCUGCAUUAAUAAGGUGUCACGUCUGCAUUAAUAAUGGGUCACGUCUGCAUUAAUAAGGGGUCACGUCUGCAUUAAUAAUGGGUCACAUCUGCAUUAAUAAUGGGUCACGUCUGCACUAAUAAGGGGUCACGUCUGCAUUAAUAAUGGGUCACGUCUGCAUUAAUAAUGGGUCACAUCUGCAUUAAUAAUGGGUCACGUCUGCACUAAUAAGGGGUCACGUCUGCACUAAUAAGGGGUCACGUCUGCACUAAUAAGGGGUCACGUCUGCAUUAAUAAGGGGUCACGUCUGCAUUAAUAAUGGGUCACGUCUGCAUUAAUAAUGGGUCACGUCUGCAUUAAUAAUGGGUCACGUCUGCAUUAAUAAGGGGUCACGUCUGCAUUAAUAAGGGGUCACGUCUGCAUUAAUAAUGGGUCACGUCUGCAUUAAUAAGGGGUCACGUCUGCAUUAAUAAGGGGUCACGUCUGCAUUAAUAAUGGGUCACGUCUGCAUUAAUAAUGGGUCACGUCUGCAUUAAUAAUGGGUCACGUCUGCACUAA